GACGUAGGGCGCGAGCGUUGUCCGGAUUUAUUGGGCGUAAAGAGCUCGUAGGCGGCUUGUCGCGUCGUCCGUGAAAACCCACAGCUCAACUGUGGGCUUGCGGUCGAUACGGGCAGGCUAGAGUUCGGUAGGGGAGACUGGAAUUCCUGGUGUAGCGGUGAAAUGCGUAGAUAUUGGGAGGAACACCAGUGGCGAAGGCGGCUACCUGGACCGGUACUGACGCUGAUGCGCGAAAGCGUGGGUAGCAAACAGG
rnacentral:rRNA from 1 species